CAGCGCCCGGCCCGGCCCUCGCCGCCUCAGCCAGGGCCCGCCGCGGCCUCUCCGCGGGGAACGGCGGCGCUCAGCGGACCAGCCAGGGCGGUCGUCCCGGGGCUAAAGCUCAGCACAGCAAUGAAGUGGUGAGAACAUAGCCUGGUUUGGCUUUUGAGCACUGCAGAGGGCUGUAAGGACACCUAAGCUGCAGGUAAUCUUGUGAAGUAGGAAACAGCUGAUUUUAAGGUAAGCAGAAUGAUUUAAAGCAUAAAAAACCACCGAUUUCAAAUCCAUUCUUACCUCAUUCAACUACUUGAUAAAGCAGGCAUAAUGUAGCCAAUUGAGCCAAAUGAGUAAAUCCCACCACCUCGGAUUUGGGUAAGCUGCUUGGGGUAAUUAAGAAAAAGUGUUUAAGCGCAAUGGUCCUUGAAAUACUUAAAAGAUCAAAGAACAAAGUCGAUGAGAUAGAAAUGAGUACAAAUUAUUUUGAAUCUAUACUAAUAUAACUCUCUUUCUGCAAUCUUCACUUUGCUGCUUAGCAUGCAAAAUCCUCUCUUAGAAAUGAAAGUGACAGUUCUUGCGAUAGCUCUGCAGACACUGGAUGCACCGCAUGUCUGCGCAUGGAUUUUGGAGACAUCCAGGAUGGGAAAAUACUGCAUCCCUCACACAGUCUCUGGUUACCAAGGCAAAGGCAGAGUUACAUUAAACAGUGGAAGUAAUGAUCAAAAAUAUGAAGAUGUAUGAUUUCUUAAGUGCUUGAGCUGAAACACAGGAAGUUUCUGGAACCUCUGAAGAGAGAAUUGUUCCCAUCAGUAAUACUACAUUCAUCCCUUCAACCUUGCUUCUUGAUAAACUGCCACAUAUAAGUGGCACAUUUAUUAAAGUGUCUUGUUACAGAAAGACCACUUAGCUUUUAGUAGAAUUAUGUGAGUGAUCUCUCAAUGGCCUUGCAGGUCUGAAAGCGGACAUUGUUCUGAAGUUUUAGUCAAGGAAAAAGCAAAUUGAGUAAUCUCUUCUUCACAACCAACCACUGGAUUGCCAGCUGCACUUCAUUUGCUGGCAAUCUCCCCCCACUUUCAGAUGUUCACAGACCUACAGCCUUACCCACAUCUCCAGCUGCUGAACUUGCAGGCCACGAGAUGCCAGUGUCAGGUCUUGGGAGGGGAGAGUCCAUAACGCGCGGAGCAAGACUGACAGGUGAGCAGAUGUGGGUGCACCCUGGGAAAGGCUGCUCCUGCAGCGCUCCCGGGAGCACAGGGCUCUGGUGAGGAACUGGAACAGACACGGGGCAGGGAAAAUGCUACAAGAACCUUCCUUUUUUGGAGUCUGAGUGUGUAUCUAGAGGCUUAACAUUAAGUGGAGAAAUUUAUGAUAGGCUCUUUAGUUGCAGUGUUUUGCAAUUGGAGAGGAAAUUACAGUGCAAGCAAUGCACUGUAUUAAUUUAAAACUAGUUAGCAACAACUAAUUUUAAACUAUUUAAAAUAAAUUUAUAUGGACAGGCAGACAACAGCUAUAGCAUUCAUAUAGAUGCAGAGGCAUUUCCCUCAGUGCAGAUGUUACUCUUUUAAAAGAAGGAAGAAUCCAAGUACCUGUAAUGUACAAGUAAUGUGGGGGAUUUUUUUGUUAUUUCCAAUGGUAUUGUCAGUGUUUCUCUUCUUGAGUCCUUAGAAAGAAAAUCCAUCAGAUGAUAGAGAAAAUGGAAGAGUUGAGUCUAAGCAAUUUCAGGUACCUUCAGACUAAGAGGGAGGGCCCCUUAGCACCACUGUCCAGGCUUUGAUAGCCCAGAGUUGGAACAAGAACUGCAGAAGGUUACCCUAAAUAAACUUGCUGCAGGACUUACACAUGCACAGUUAUGAAUAAACCCACUAUUCAUGUUAAUAUUUGUGUUAAAAUACUGAAAAGCAUUUUCCUUUUCCACAUAAGAAAUCCGUAUCCCUGACCUGCAGUAACAGCUAUUUCUAAUACUCAAUAAAUCGAUGUGGUGGUUCUGCCAGCCCAAAGUACAGCUUUGCGGGCCUCCAUCUUGGCUCCAGCACAUCUCAAAUUUUCUUCUCAGGUACUAAGCCUCCAUUAAGUCUAACCUAGUCUUUGGUAACUGUCAAGCUGGUUUUAUUUUACCUGAAGACAAAACAAAGGUAGGAGCAGAAGAGAGAAGCUAAGAUAAAGGUUUACUCCCACAUGCCUGUGCCGUUGGUACCCCUGCAGCAAUCCAGAUGCUCUCAUGCCAGCCAAGCAGCUACUGCAUUGCCUGUAAUGACAUCUUAGAUUGCAGCAAAGGCAAAAGGAGGGAUUUAAUCAAUGACAGCAGCACUGCAGUCUGUCCUUAUGCUAUCAAACACAUGUUCCUCAGCCCUGGUUUGCUUGUAUUCACUGCUAGCCAAGGUAGUACAGGAGAUUUAAUAGUGUGUGAAACUUUAGGGCUAUUAAAAAUCCACCUCGGGUGUUCUGAAUAACCUCCCAGGUUACUUUUCUCCCCCAAACAUUGGAAUAUUUUAUUUCCCUAACUACUGUUUUGCUCAGGGACUUUUCCCUUAAAUGGCUGCAGUCUUAGGUUACUUGUCAGCUUCAAAAGACAUCACACGUGCAACAUUUUUGUCCUGUCAGCUGGUAGCGGUUUUCAAAACAGGAUGCCUAUUUUUCCCCCGAUUAUUUCCAAGUGAGACACAGAAGUCUGAGCUUUUGUUUUCAGUUGGUUAUACAGGUUCAACCUGGUGAUUCAUUCUUCCUGCAGCUACAUUUCCAGGAAAAGACAAAGCCCUGGCUCUUCUCCAAGUUAUCCAAGUAGGAUCAGAAAGCACUCCUCCCCCAGCUGUGACACUUUCUAAGAAGGGAGAAAUUGAACAAAACACAUCCCAGAGUUGGUGUCAUCGCCCUGCAGACAGGCAAGGAGGUACAUGACCUUGGAAAGGCAUGUGCAGUACCAAAUCAGGGUGAAGAUAACAGCAGAGUUUACAAGAUUUGAGAUUCUUGGUCGUGUGAAGCAUAGCCAAGUGUGUGCAACGAGCCAUUCUCCAUUUCUGGGACUGAUGGUGACUGUGAAGCUGGAUGGCUUACGGGAAAUCCUGCAAUUUAAUUUCAAGCCUUUUAGAAGACUCUCAUCUUCUUGUUGCAGUUGGUGUGGACAGGCACAUAUGCUUGGAGUUGGGAAUUUUUCAAGAGUUAUUACUCAUAAAGAAGCUGGUAACUUUGGUUUCAGACAUCUCCUCUUAGGAAUACUGCUGCUUGCUGAUGAAGGGAAGCCUGGUUUUGCAUCAUGAGGCAAAGGACGACAGAGUUGUGUGGUUGUGAAUGCAAGUGCUGAGAUUUCAGAGAGGGAGUUAAAUAAAAACCUGCACAACUCUGCCUACAAGGAACCAUCACAGGAAAUGUAAAGACUUGUCUGAGAAGUGGGGUUCCUUCGAAUGCAGCUCACAUGUACUCAGCAAAUGGGCCAAGUAAAGAGACAGAAUUACCUCCCCCUGUAAGCCCACAAGCCAAAACACAGCUGGUAGCACUAAUAUUAGUCCUGUCAAGCCUGGUAGUCUUCAUUUAUUAUACAUCUUGCAAAUAAUUAUACAUCUAGUUAAGUUUAUAGCUCAAAAGCUGCAUUUAGUGGUUGGCAGGGUAUGCUCCUCACUUGGAGUAGUUGGCAGGGUAUUGCUCCUCUGACCUCAUUAGACUAACAGGAGGAGCAAGUCUGGUCCUUUGUAUAUUCAGAAUAAACCACAGGUCUUUCUAAUCUCUGCAUAUUAGGAGCAGAGGUCACUACUCAUUUGGCUGUCAUCACAAUCUGAUUUAGGGUUUGUUUCAAGAUGCUUUAUGGCCUUCUUUAAAGGCUGUGUUGGAGUUCUCCUGAAGUUUGCAGCAACUUCAUGAGAGGGCUUAAAUUAAGAUUUGUUUCCCACAUUUUUGAAAGUUACUUUACUUUCCCUUUUGUGAAAAUUAAAGCACGGGAGGGUUGCUGCACACUGGGUGCCCUGCUCAGAGGCAAGGGGUGGUAAUGGAGAGUCCCAUGGCACACACCUCUCUUUCUGGAGCAGGAGGAAAAGAGGUUGGAUCCCAACAGUCCGUAGUAAGCUAUUUUCAGCUCAGGCAUUCAUUAUUGCCAUGAUCUGCCAUCCAAAAUUCCUGCUUAUGCAAAAUGUGGAACUAGGUAUGUGCUGCCCAUUGUACAUCAAAGUAAUUGAUUUUUUUAAUAAUGGAAACUGUCUGAUGAUUCACUGGGGUAAAUCAAGCAAAACAGUAGAAAGAUGAGGCAAGAAAUAGGAAGAGAACCAGGACCAGUAAUAAAUCAUGAUAGAGGGUAUUCAGUGUAUUGCUAUAGCAGUAAGUCAAUAGAAUGUUAAGCUGCAUAAAUACAAGAUAAUGUGUUUCAUUUCUGCAGGCUGUUGCUCAGACUACACCUAUUAACAGGAUCGCCUGGUUCUGCAGAAAAUACACACAGCAACAAGUUUUGUCAUAUUAUCCUGAUAAAUCAGAUAUGAAUUAAGAUUUUAAGAGUUACUUUGCCAAAAUGGAGAAGGAAAUGAAUAUUCCUCAUCACUGCAGCUAAGGAAAUCAUGCACAGAUAUGGAAAAUUACUCUCUACUGGUGUUUUGAGGUAUGUGGAAGUGGAAGCUUAACUUCUCCUGGAAUGACAGGGAGGUGGGACAGUUUGCUGUUUUCUGUGACUUCCAGGGAUUAAAGUCAGCUUCCUCUUGCUUAAGACCUACAUGAAUAAGUCCUAACAGGGAAACAGACUACUGA